GGCUGGGGUGGCACCCGGCCAGCACCGUAAACCACCCCGCACCCAUCCUCCGAGCUGCUCCCCUCGGGCUCCCCUGGGGCCAGAGCAGGAGUCCCAGGACCUCUUCCCCAAGCUGAUGAGGGUCCCCGGAUCAGAGCGCUUGGGCCCUGGAGGCACCAGGGGCCUCCUGCAUUGGACCCCUGUGCUGCCUCUGCCACAACACUGACCACUCUGGGCUGUCCUUGUCUCCACUGCUCUGUCCUUGCAUCAGCUGGGACUCCAGCAUUCUGCUCAUCGACAGACACAGAGAGAGGAGCCAAUGAGGGAAGGAAGGAAGGAAGGAAGGAAGGAAGGAAGGAAGGAAGGAAGGAAGGAAGGAAGGAAGGAAGGAAGGAAGGAAGGAAGGAAGGAAGGAAA